GCUUGGGUGCAUAAUACAUUCUGCAUAGAAAGAACCUCACUGCCAGCCCAGGAGAGGAAGGACCUGCUAUUUCCAAGCUCAUGGCUUCCAGCUGUGAUCCAGAUUUACAAUCAAUCCAUUGUUUUUAGUCAAGUUCAUCUAAAGGAGAAACAGCCAUAGUUUAUUUCUGCUGGUGUUUCCCCCCACAAGCAUGAGAGCAGUACAAGGGAUGUGUGGUACAGGAGCAGAACAUUGGCAAGAGCUGUUGUGCCAUACUGAUGGAGGCCCUAUGCUUUUGGUGGCUGCAUCAGGACAUCCUGCCCUGACGAACGGCUUCUUAUUUUGAUGCUUAGACUGCUUGGAUUUCAGCCUGCCCUGUCCCUAACACAAAGGCAACUAGCAACAUUCCAUGAAUCUUCACAACAACCUUAUGAGGCAGGUCACUGUUUCCUCUCACGUUAUAGAGAAGGAUUAAGGCAGGAAGUUGUCCAGUGUCAUUGUUGGGUCUCUGGCUAACCACAGACAGCCUCCCAGUUCCAGGUCCAAACAUUUUGCAUAGGCACCGUACUGCCUCACUAUAAAGACACCAUUAUGUCAAAGAGCAUUAAAUAUAUUUUAUGUCAGGUGUGACUUAUUGUACUGGGAAGAUUUAAAGUUCCUCUCUCUGAUUCUGAAGUGCAUCUUCAGUUAUACAGUUCUUGAUUAACCUCAUAUGCAUGUAUAUGGCUAGAGUGGUUUUUUUUGUUCAUUUGACUGCAGUAGCUUAACAGUUUAAUACCCAUUGAAUUUGAUCUCAAUGUACUUUGG